AUGGGUAUAUGCUUCGGUUGCCUCGGUGGCGGUGACAAGCGCAUGACAAAAGAAGAAGAUAGAUUAGCUUCUGAAGAAGCGCGUGCUAAAGCUGCUCAAGCCGCACAAAAAAGGCAAGAGCAAUUUGAUAAUUCUGCGGCAGGGCGAGCUGCACGUGCACAUCAAAAGGGACUCGCCAAGCAGGCUGCAAACUCAAAUUCCGGUGAACCAACUCUAAAGUGGCAGAUGGGUUAA